rnacentral:rRNA from 1 species
AGAGUUUGAUCAUGGCUCAGGACGAACGCUGGCGGCGUGCUUAACACAUGUAAGUCGAACGAUGAAGCCUUUCGGGGUGGAUUAGUGGCGAACGGGUGAGUAACACGUGGGCAAUCUGCCCUUCACUCUGGGACAAGCCCUGGAAACGGGGUCUAAUACCGGAUAACACUCUGUCCUGCAUGGGACGGGGUUAAAAGCUCCGGCGGUGAAGGAUGAGCCCGCGGCCUAUCAGCUAGUUGGUGGGGUAAUGGCCUACCAAGGCGACGACGGGUAGCCGGCCUGAGAGGGCGACCGGCCACACUGGGACUGAGACACGGCCCAGACUCCUACGGGAGGCAGCAGUGGGGAAUAUUGCACAAUGGGCGAAAGCCUGAUGCAGCGACGCCGCGUGAGGGAUGACGGCCUUCGGGUUGUAAACCUCUUUCAGCAGGGAAGAAGCGCAAGUGACGGUACCUGCAGAAGAAGCACCGGCUAACUACGUGCCAGCAGCCGCGGUAAUACGUAGGGUGCGAGCGUUGUCCGGAAUUAUUGGGCGUAAAGAGCUCGUAGGCGGCUUGUCACGUCGGAUGUGAAAGCUCGGGGCUUAACCCCGAGUCUGCAUUCGAUACGGGCUAGCUAGAGUGUGGUAGGGGAGAUCGGAAUUCCUGGUGUAGCGGUGAAAUGCGCAGAUAUCAGGAGGAACACCGGUGGCGAAGGCGGAUCUCUGGGCCAUUACUGACGCUGAGGAGCGAAAGCGUGGGGAGCGAACAGGAUUAGAUACCCUGGUAGUCCACGCCGUAAACGUUGGGAACUAGGUGUUGGCGACAUUCCACGUCGUCGGUGCCGCAGCUAACGCAUUAAGUUCCCCGCCUGGGGGAGUACGGGCCGCAAGGCUAAAACUCAAAGGAAUUGACGG